UACUACUGCGACCAAAAUCCUGCUU
rnacentral:misc_RNA from 1 species